GAGGAGGAGGAGGAGGAGGAGAAGCAUCUGGACCGUGCAGCCGCCCCGGACCGCGUCACGGGCCCUGCUGCCCCGGCCGCCGCUGCAGUCGUCGGUGCCGCCGCCGCUCCCUCCCUCCCUCCCUCCGCCCGGCCGCACCUCCGGCCCCGACCCCGCGGUGAUCAUGAAUCAGGCAGAUAAAAAUCAAGAAAUUCCAUCUUAUCUUAGUGAUGAACCACCAGAAGGGUCGAUGAAAGAUCACCCACAGCAGCAGCCAGGCAUGUUGUCUCGCGUGACUGGAGGUAUCUUCAGUGUUACAAAGGGAGCUGUUGGCGCCACCAUUGGUGGUGUGGCUUGGAUUGGUGGAAAGAGUCUGGAGGUGACCAAAACAGCUGUUACAACUGUGCCUUCCAUGGGAAUAGGGCUGGUGAAAGGAGGCGUGUCUGCUGUGGCUGGAGGUGUGACCGCUGUUGGUUCUGCUGUUGUAAACAAAGUGCCCUUAUCAGGAAAGAAGAAAGACAAGUCUGACUAAGAUGAGGUACACUUGUACACUGCACACUUGGCACACUUGCUCUCCACAGCAUAUGUUGCCAGUGGCAUUGAACUGCUCAAGUACAGACUACAGCUCAGUCAACCGCUACACUCCUGGGUUGAAAGUAUCGAUGGCUGGCUUCAUCUAAAACAAGAAGAGACCAAUACCAUGCCAGUGUAUGGAGGCUUUUCAUACUUAAGUUCAGCUUUCUAUCUGGUAAAACGUUACACUUACUCAGUUGUAACUGAAGAUAUGCAGAUGCAGACAUACCAUUUUUCAAGCCAGUUUCAGAUAGGGAGCUGACGUUUUGUUUGAUAUGGAUGGUAAGUGUGUUGUGUCUUAAUGUGUCAUCAUAGCUCAUUUAUUCUCAUAGAACGUAACUCAAAAGUCCAUUUCUUUUUGUUUUAGUGUUCAGUUUCAUGAAAAUUUAAUAACUGACAUUAUGUUUGGUAUUUAUCUUAUAAUCUAAGUCUGAAAAAAAAAUCUUAAUUUUCUUUAUACCUAAAACUAGAACUCUGUCUCCAUUCUGCCCUUUCUAACUCCCUGGAGAGAGGAAGGGAGGGGUGCCUUGACACAAAGAAGUCAAGAUGUAGUGUCCCUGAGAACGUCACCCUAACGUGCAGGUUUUAAAUGUUUGUGACUCUUAAGACUGUUCUAUAGUAAUGUGGGUCAACAUCUGGAUAAAAAUAGAAAUUUUAAAAGCAUUCAUAAAUAACAGCAGGACUUGCAAGCAAAUCUGUAAAUGUUCUGAAACCUUUAUGCUUACACAAAACUUAAAAUCACUGAGGAGUGCAAUUUAGAAGGAAUUAAAUGGCCAUUUAGUUCAUGCAAUAUAAUUAAGACAUUUGUUGGUACAUCUGGUGAAAUGUCUUAACAAAUGAUAUUUUUUUUUAAUUCCAAAAUUAAUAGACCCAUUCUCAAUGAUCUAAAUAAUGGUAUUAGAGAACUUGAUUCCUGCUAUUUAGAAAUUAUUGAUUCAUUGCUGGUUUGUAUUUCUAACUUAAAGGCUCUGCUGUGCUUUGUACUUGAAUUCGUCUAAGUGUAGACUUAGUUUAUAUAUGCUUGCAUAUUUAUUUUCAACUUUGCUUGUCUUUAAAAUCACUUGAGGAAAUGGCUAUAGUUAAUUUCUGCUACAGAAAAGCCACCUGGUAAAUUUUCUCAAUUGUCUUAAAUGCUAACGUAGAAUUCUGCAACAGUAGCGGAGAACUGUAGAGGCGUCCAGUUAGCUGUGCUCUAACUGAAGUGAACUUGCCAUUUGAUGAUGUGUACAGCUGUAUACUUAGGUCUCUUCCAGUUUAUUGACGUAGACUAGCAGUGUGACCUGUUAAACAGGACUAGCUCACUUCAGAAACUAUGGGUGUUGUGUAUAUCUGGAAGUGUCUGUUAUUCAGCUUCUUUUUUGAGUGGGUUUUUGGCACAGUGAAGAUAAAUUUGUGUGAUCCACUUGAAUAACUGAUCUGAUGUUGACAUAUGAAUACUGUACUUAGUGAAAUGUCAGAUGAAAAUAGCUGAUUGAAUAAUGCGGGGUUUUUUUUUUUUGUAUUAAAGGGAUGGGAAAGAACACAUGAAUCUGAUAAUAAAGGACUAUGAUCUGCAAAGAUGGAAUGUUUCAUAAAGACCUACAGAAAUAAAGGCAAUUUGUGAACAGGAUCUUCUUAAAACUUCCAGUUACAUGGCAGUUCAGGAAUUGCUGUAGCCAUUGUUUUGGGUGAUGGUUUACAAACAUGGUAUUUGGAUGCAGACAGAAGAGUAGAAUUCCACUAGAAUUUAAUCAACUAAGACUGAAAACGGAAUGUCUAGGUUUUGUCAUCUGUUUGCUCGGUCUCUGCAGGGUAGGCCAAGACUUUAACAACUUUGGUGGGUUCUGCUUAGGCACACUCAAGUGUGAAUGCAGUGAGUUACACCUAGGGACACUAUUCUACUGUAUAUUGUUAGGGGGACAACCUAGAUUGCUGCCGCAGGGAUCCCAUGCCACUUCUCCAGAGCUGGGAUUACAAGUGAGUGUCAUCACAUUGGCAUUUUUUUAUAUGAGUUCUCAGAAUCAAAACUAACUGAAGUUCUUA